CAGUAGCCGCGGGAGUACGAAGGGUGCAAGCGUUAAUCGGAAUUACUGGGCGUAAAGCGUGCGUAGGCGGUUUGUUAAGUCUGCUGUGAAAUCCCCGGGCUCAACCUGGGAAUGGCAGUGGAUACUGGCAAGCUAGAGUGUGUCAGAGGAUGGUGGAAUUCCCGGUGUAGCGGUGAAAUGCGUAGAGAUCGGGAGGAACAUCAGUGGCGAAGGCGGCCAUCUGGGACAACACUGACGCUGAGGCACGAAAGCGUGGGGAGCAAACAGGAUUAGAGACCCCCGUAGUCCCUGUCUAUUAUAA
rnacentral:rRNA from 1 species